GGAAUGUAGUAAUACAUUCAGUGGCGAACGGGUGAGUAACGCGUGGAUAAUCUACCUACGAGAUGGGGAUAACUAUUAGAAAUAGUAGCUAAUACCGAAUAAAGUCAAUUAAGAUGUUAGUUGAUGAAAGGAAGCCUUUAAAGCUUCGCUUGUAGAUGAGUCUGCGUCUUAUUAGCUAGUUGGUGGGAUAAGAGCCUACCAAGGCUAUGAUAAGUAACCGGCCUGAGAGGGUGAUCGGUCACACUGGAACUGAGAUACGGUCCAGACUCCUACGGGAGGCAGCAGCUAAGAAUCUUCCGCAAUGGGCGAAAGCCUGACGGAGCGACACUGCGUGAACGAAGAAGGUCGAAAGAUUGUAAAGUUCUUUUAUAAGUGAGGAAUAAGCUUUGUAGGAAAUGACAAAGCGAUGACGUUAAUUUAUGAAUAAGCCCCGGCUAAUUACGUGCCAGCAGCCGCGGUAAUACGUAAGGGGCGAGCGUUGUUCGGGAUCAUUGGGCGUAAAGGGUGAGUAGGCGGAUAUGCAAGUCUAUGUGUAAAAUACCACAGCUCAACUGUGGAACUAUGCUGGAAACUGCAUGACUAGAGUCUGAUAGGGGAAGUUAGAAUUCCUGGUGUAAGGGUGGAAUCUGUUGAUAUCAGGAAGAAUACCAGAGGCGAAGGCGAACUUCUAGGUCAAGACUGACGCUGAGUCACGAAAGCGUAGGGAGCAAACAGGAUUAGAUACCCUGGUAGUCUACGCUGUAAACGAUGCACACUUGGUGUUAAUCGAAAGGUUAGUACCGAAGCUAACGUGUUAAGUGUGCCGCCUGGGGAGUAUGUUCGCAAGAAUGAAACUCAAAGGAAUUGACGGGGGCCCGCACAAGCGGUGGAGCAUGUGGUUUAAUUCGAUGAUACGCGAGGAACCUUACCAGGGCUUGACAUAUACAGGAUAUAGUUAGAGAUAACUAUUCCCCGUUUGGGGUCUGUAUACAGGUGCUGCAUGGUUGUCGUCAGCUCGUGCCGUGAGGUGUUGGGUUAAGUCCCGCAACGAGCGCAACCCUUGUUGUCUGUUACCAGCAUGUAAAGAUGGGGACUCAGACGAGACUGCCGGUGAUAAGCCGGAGGAAGGUGAGGAUGACGUCAAAUCAUCAUGGCCCUUAUGUCCUGGGCUACACACGUGCUACAAUGGCCUGUACAAAGCGAUGCGAAACAGUGAUGUGAAGCAAAACGCAGAAAGCAGGUCUCAGUCCAGAUUGAAGUCUGAAACUCGGCUUCAUGAAGUUGGAAUCGCUAGUAAUCGUAUAUCAGAAUGAU
rnacentral:rRNA from 1 species